rnacentral:rRNA from 1 species
GAUGAACGCUGGCGGCGUGCCUAAUACAUGCAAGUCGAGCGAACGGACGAGAAGCUUGCUUUUCUGAUGUUAGCGGCGGACGGGUGAGUAACACGUGGAUAACCUACCUAUAAGACUGGGAUAACUUCGGGAAACCGGAGCUAAUACCGGAUAAUAUUUUGAAACGCAUGGUUCAAAAGUGAAAGACGGUCUUGCUGUCACUUAUAGAUGGAUCCGCGCUGCAUUAGCUAGUUGGUAAGGUAACGGCUUACCAAGGCAACGAUGCAUAGCCGACCUGAGAGGGUGAUCGGCCACACUGGAACUGAGACACGGUCCAGACUCCUACGGGAGGCAGCAGUAGGGAAUCUUCCGCAAUGGGCGAAAGCCUGACGGAGCAACGCCGCGUGAGUGAUGAAGGUCUUCGGAUCGUAAAACUCUGUUAUUAGGGAAGAACAUAUGUGUAAGUAACUGUGCACAUCUUGACGGUACCUAAUCAGAAAGCCACGGCUAACUACGUG